UCAUGGGCGAGAACAAAAGGAACAAACAUAUAUAUCUGAUAUUAAAAUGUCCUGGUGCGAGGUAUUUCUAUCGCAGAUAAAUGUCAAGAGGAAGUUCCGCCAGGAGGUCCCCACGAUGCGCGAACGACAAGCACUCCGCCUUUGACUGAUGCCGCUGACAUUUUGGCCCCGUUGAAGGAACUAAAACUCACAGCUGGGUUGUAUUUUUAGCUGCCACUCGCCGCUGAUGAUGACAUAGAGGCCUUCCUCAUAAAGCCGGAGCAUUAUCACACCUGGAAAAUGUAACUCGGGGAAGAAAACGGGAGCGCCGAGAGAGCCACUCGUGCAAAAAGGGAAGGAGAAGUAAGCGGUUGUCCUGAAGAAUUUGGAGGUAAUCCACCUGUGGAGCGGCGGGGCACGCUGUAGCCCGGCCCAAAAUGAUGGCAAGGAGGCGGAGAAUGUGGCUGAGCGGAGAGGCGUGGGUCGCGCACAGGCACACGAUUGACAUUUCCCCUCGGUUGGUAGAGUGGCCGUGCCAGCAACUUGAGGGUUGCGGGUUCGAUUCCCGCUUGUGCCAUCCUAGUCACUGCCGUUGUGUCCUUGGGCAAGACACUUUACCCACCUGCUCCCAGUGCCACCCACACUGGUUUAAAUGUAACUUAGAUAUUGGGUGUCAAUAUGUAAAGCGCUUCGAGUCACUUAAGAAAAAAGCGCUACAUAAAUAUAAUUCACUUCACUUACGCUGCAUAAAAAGAGAAGAAGGAGGAGAGUCCGACAGAGAGAAGACGGAGACCACGAAAGCGACCGAAGAGCGAGCAGCGGAGGAGGAGCUGAAAAGCUACCUGGCGAGAGACAGCUUUGUUUGAAAAAAUAAAACGAGUCAAACCUG